GGAGGAUCCGAGCGUUAUCCGGAUUUAUUGGGUUUAAAGGGUGCGUAGGCGGUUUAUUAAGUCAGGGGUGAAAGACGGCAGCUUAACUGUCGCAGUGCCUUUGAUACUGAUGAACUUGAAUGUACUUGAGGUAGGCGGAAUGUGACAAGUAGCGGUGAAAUGCAUAGAUAUGUCACAGAACACCAAUUGCGAAGGCAGCUUACUAAAGUAUGAUUGACGCUGAGGCACGAAAGCGUGGGGAUCAAACAGGAUUAGAUACCCUGGUAGUCCACGCCCUAAACGAUGAACACUCGAUGUUGGCGAUAUACGGUCAGCGUCUAAGCGAAAGCGUUAAGUGUUCCACCUGGGGAGUACGCCCGCAAGGGUG
rnacentral:rRNA from 1 species